GACGAACGCUGGCGGCGUGCUUAACACAUGCAAGUCGAACGGAAAGGCCCUGCUUUUGUGGGGUGCUCGAGUGGCGAACGGGUGAGUAACACGUGAGUAACCUGCCCUUUACUUUGGGAUAACUUCAGUAAACUGGGGCUAAUACCGGAUAUGAGCUCCUUCUGCAUGGUGGGUGUUGGAAAGUUUCGGCGGUUGGGGAUGGACUCGCGGCUUAUCAGCUUGUUGGUGGGGUAGUGGCUUACCAAGGCUUUGACGGGUAGCCGGCCUGAGAGGGUGACCGGCCACAUUGGGACUGAGAUACGGGCAAGACUGCUACGGGAGGAAGCAGUGGGGAAUAUUGCACAAUGGACGGAAGCAUGAUGCAGCAACGCCGCGUGCGGGAUGACGGCCUUCGGGUUGUAAACCGCUUGAGCCUGUGACGAAGAGUGAGUGACGGUAAUGGGUAAAGAAGCACCGGCUAACUACGUG
rnacentral:rRNA from 1 species